AAAAUCUAAAGAGAAAGAGUGGCUACCUCUGCCAGGAGUGGAAAUGACCACCGAGGGACAGUCUUGAUAUUCAAACUAGGACCAAAAUGAUGAAAUUUGAGAUAGAGAGGGAGACUUGACAGGACAUUCCAGGCAGAAGGAACCAAUUGUGUGGGGAGUUCUGAAAGGGAGCACUGUGUUUACACAGGGGUGAGAAUGUGGGGGUGGGGAGGAUAAGAUUUAUGGGGGCAAUGCGAGGGGAAUGGCAUGUGAUAAAGACAGAGAAGUGCAUAUGCAACAAGCUUGUCACUGAGGAGAAGAAUGACAAUGAUGGGCAUAGUUUGCUUUGCUUUGUUUUCUUAUUUUUGAGAAAGUAACAUUGUCACCAAGACUGCCUGGAAGAGAAAGAGAGACAAGUGAGAAGAUUCUUGCCAUCAUUCAGGCUAAUGUUGAUGAUAAUUGAGCAUAGUAAAGGUGGAGAGGAGGAGAUGCCACAUUUGGAAAGCAAUUCUAACAGAAUCCACAUGAUUUCAAGUCUAAUUAUGCAUAUAUUCUGAGUUAUCAAUGAUUCAAGUGGUCCUAUUAUUGCAAGACUACAAAGACAACAGCAUCAGAAGGUUUUCAGUUCUGGAAAAUCUAUGCAAAAUAGAAGUUAGCAGAUGGAUCAAGAAACCCACAGAACAAUGUUUGUGUUGAAGAAUUCUCAGCAAGUGCCCUGUGAGAGUGCUCCCAUCUGGAAAGGACUGCAGCUGUCUUUUGGCAUGAACUAGAUGGGUGUUUGUAACAGGUUCAUGUCAACUCUUUUAUAGAAAAUCAACUCCUAAAAUCAUUGUAAAAUUAAAGAGUUAUUUUUAUGAAUUUCUCCAUCCUGUAUUAAUUCAGGCACCUAACUCCAUUUUGAAUUUAAAGUGGCCUUGGCCAUUUUGUCAAUUAUCAUCUUUGCCUUGGUAGAUGAAGAAACACAUUCUGCUGGUCAGAGAGUGAGGCUGGUUAGAGUGGACCUGCCAAAAGGAUUUGGGAUUCAGAGAAAUUAUAAUUCUCCCAAGAAAUACCAGGAAGAAACUUCUGCACGGCAACAGUAGAACCGAUCACCUCUUAGCAACCUGAAGUCACAGCAGACACCAGCCACAUAGCAACUAAUACUGGACUUCUGGGGAAAAUAAAUCCAUGCCAACAGUGUCUGCAUGUUCAGGAGCCUGUGAUUUUUCACUCACAUAAAAAACUUUUAGUUUUAGUUAAAAAUAUUUUUAUUUCAAAGACCAGGCACAGUGGCUCACACCUGUAAUCCCAGCACUUUGGGAGGCCAAGGCGGGCGGAUCACCUGAGGCCAGGAGUUCAAGACCAGCCUGAUGCAUGUGGAGAAACCCCAUCUCUACUAAAAACACAUAAUUAGCCAGGCAUAAUGGCACACACCUGUAAUCCCAGCUACACGGGAGGCUGAGGCAGGAGAAUUGCUUGGACCUGGGAGGUAGAGGUUGCAAUGAGCCAAGGUCAUGCUAUUGCACUCUAGCCAGGGAAACAAGAGCAAAACUUCAUCAUCCGCCCCCCAAAAAGAGCCAAAACCAAAUAUAUAUAUAUAUUUUUUUUCAAAAGUGCCUUAACCAAAUGACUAGAGAAGCAAUUACCUUUUAAAAUCUUAUUUAUUGUUUAUUAUAUAUUUUGAAAUCAAGGAAUCAACAGAUAUUCAUAAUAUAUGCCCUGAGGUCUAGAGGGAUAAAAUAAAUUUAGCACGUUACUAAAUCAAUCUCAUUAUAACAAAUACUAAUUGUAUUUUUCAGCGUUUCAAAGAAAUUUCAUAACCUUAUGUGUAAUAGGUGAAAUACAUAGAUAAAGAGUAAUUACUAAAGGACUCCCAUUGCUCUAAAGAACAUAGUUUAACGUUUUUAAAUUUAUGAAACCAGAAUAGACUCUUAUUCUCACUGAUUUCAUUUUGGUUAUUGUUUAUAUAAUGUUUGUGCUUUUCUUGUGGAUUUUACUUGGGUGCUAUGGACAAGAAAUAGAAAUUGAAGACCUAGUACAAGCCUCUGACAUAGCAUUGUGACACCUGGUUCAUGGAGAAAAGGGGACAUCUCCAUCAGGAUCUUUGCUCUUUGAUUAAUGAGGAGACAUUCAUUACAGCUCAGGAAUAGACAGCACCUCCACAUACUGGGAACUUAAUUUAUUAGUCUAAGGGGCAGGGGUUAAGGAACAUCAGAGAGACAUGAGAAAGAAGAAAAGAAAGGACAAGAAAAUUCUUGGCUGAGGCAAUUCAGAGAUGUGGAGUUGCAAAUAUAAGAGGUUUAACAAUAGUAAUAAUACUUCCAGAACUGUUUUGAGUAUAAAGUUCUUUAAAUGAUAAAUAAAAGAUCCUAAAUGCUAAUGAUCCAGCUAGAUGUAUUAUUUUAAAUGCACCCAUGCCACUGCUGUUUGCCUACAUAUAAAAUUGAUUAUAUUAGAUGAUAUUUAAAGAUAAAGGGAAAAACAGAAUUAGCCAAUAAAAAGAGAUUUAAAAAAAAUGCUUACCACUUCUUGCCUAAAUAGCUCAGUAGCCAAGUCAACAGAAACAUAUUCGAUAGGAUCACUUGCUUUCAAGCAUGACCAUUCUUUGGGUCUGGGUAGAAACUAGGGCUGUCUGGAAGCCAGAGACCCAACAUAAGGUAGCAGUAGAGCUGAUUUCUGCUUCCAUCACCUCUCUCCACAGUUGCAGCAAUUCUCCAAGAGGGCUGGGACCUUUGCCAUAACUCCUUCCAAGAGUGUGUAUGUAUCACUUCAGAUAGAUCAAAGUGUAGUUAUUCAAAAUUUCUUACUUUGAAAGAAACAAAUGCAUUUCUUCUAAGGAUUGCCAUGCAAGUUAUCACAUUAACCAUAGAGUUUAUUGUUGCUAGAACAAAUAGUGAUGUCAUGUCAUUUUGAAGAAUCAUAGCUGUGCCAGAAACUGGCUAGCUGUUCACCAAAUCUUCUUCUUGUUUUUCUUCCUCUAUAUUCAAGUAGAUUGUAUUUCUCUCUCUUCCUUGCUGUUGGUUGUGGCCACUAAACUAAGCUCUAGCCUAUCCCUUUUUAGUGGAAGUGCAUCACCUACAAAAGCCUCCCCCACACAAGGCCCUCCAUACCCUUUCCCUUUCUGCCAGUGCAGUAGGGGAGCUCAGUUGUGUUUGGGUGCUAUGCUGCAGAAGGCAAAGCCACGGAGUGAAAGGACUCUGGUUCCCUGAAUCAUCACUUAGGAGAGAGCCAACCACCAAUCCAAAACACCUGUUUAGGAUUUUAUGGAGCCAACAUAUAAAUUUCCAUUGUAUUUGUAC
rnacentral:lncRNA from 1 species